AUCUUAAUAUGGUACAUCACUUUCAGCGUGUGCUCUAUAAAUGUGUUAUUAUUUUGAAAAGUGAAUGGAUGUCAAAAUCCCACGAACAAGCACAGAAAGGCAGAACAGGGCUAGCAGCUUGUCUUCCCAGAAUGAAUAUUGCGCCAACCACUGUGAAAACCUGGAACUCCAAUAGUCAUUCCACACACAAAAAAAUCUGAUGCUUAGCAUACAUAUUUUUGGAACAUCUAAUAAGUUAAUACUUUACAUUAGUGGGGUUUUUUUACAUUUAUAGUAAAUCUGACACAUAAAGACCUCCAUCCUCAGCCACCCCAACUCUGUGUGAAUGGCACCUGGUGGCUUGUCUGAUGAGCUGCAGCCACACUGCCACCAGCUUGCCCAGCCUCAGGCUUCUCCUCCAGGGCUUGGAUAGGUGAGGACACAGGUAGAAGGUGUCAACUAUGAGGAAUGGACCUUCACCAGACACCAAAUCUGCUAUUUCCUUGAUCUCGGACUUCCUAGCCUCCAUCACUGAACUGGAAUUUGACAUAAGACUCCACACCAACAUAUUUUCAGUCUUCUGGGAAGAUGGCAUCUGACCAGGCAAGAACUACCCGGACCGAUGGUUUCUGCUGGAGGGAGAACUAGAGGUGGUUUGGGGCACACAGAGGGGAAGCCCUCAUCUGGUCUUCGGGGCAGGGUGGUGGAGACAAACAGGCAGAGGCAGCCAUGUUCACAUUAGUCAGGGUAAAGAGCACAUCCCUGGGGAACUUUUUUAUACCCAGGUACAGUCACCAUGGGGAGUGACGGCUGGGACGUGGGGGACCACGGAGUCGCCAGCCAAGUCGGGAAGGGUGUUUGGAUUUCUCAGGAAGACAUCGCGGGCCACCCAGAGAAGGGCAGGACACAGGGCACGAGGACAUGAGGAAGGAGGCUCAUGCCCACCAAGCGCAGGGCCCGGCUGAGACCGGUGAGGGCAGAUGGGAGCCUGAGCAGGUACAGGGUCAGGAGUUACAAAGAUAGUGGUCAGGUUCCUAGAGCUCAGGCAUUCAGCUGGCGUGGAGGGGAAGUCCACUGGGGCAGCUGGAGGCACAAGAGAGAAGAGCUGGAUGUCCCUGAGGCCAGCAUCUGAAUGAGAGCAGAGCUCGUGGAGACACAGCAAAGUUAAACGAAAGCCUACCAAGGUAGGAGCGAAAGGUAUUAGGCAAGAGAAGACAACAUAAGAAGUAAAAGUGAUAAGUUCACUGAUUUAUACACUAACUCACACUAAGGAUAGGAACUGUGCAGUGUUGAUCCACGCCUAGAGGUGGAAGUUAUCUAAGCCAGCAGUCCCCAACUUUUUGGGCACCAGGAACCAGUUUCAUGAAAGACAUUUUUCCACUGACCAGGUGCAGGGGCUUGUGGGGGGAUGGUUUUGGGAUGAUUCAAGUGCAGUACAUUUAUUGUGUACUUUAUUUCUAUUAUUACUACAUUGCAAUAUAUAAUGAAAUAAUUAUACAACUUACCUUAAUGUU